GGGCCAGCUCAGAUUUGAAGGGUGAUGAAACCGACUCUGCCUCUCAGUGGGAAGAGCUGCCAGGCCACACCGCAAAGGGCCUGCGCAAAGGAACAUGUAGACGGUAGGAGCCUCACUUGCAACAAUCUGCCAGACUACAGGAUAUUGAUUUGUUGUUGGGGACUCUGCAGACACAUGACAAGAGUUGAGGUUGUAAACAUGGGCACGUAAGCCACACUCCCAGAUGACCAGUUUUAAUUUGACCUUUGAAUCCAAGAGCCAGCUGAGGCACGGUGUGGAAUGCAUCUGUGUGCUGGGGAGCCCAAUCAUUCUGACCAUCUUAACCGUCACGACGAAUCGUUGCCUGCGGGUGUCUUCUGAAGCGAUCAACACCAAUCUUCAGGAGAGCUGAAAUGUCCCAAUCAGCCACAUGGCGCCAGUUCGCUGGGCGUGUGUGGGUCCAGGUUCCUGGUUAAGAACAUUAAAUAAGAAACACAACUACACGAACCAUCCCACGAUUGCCACUGUGACCUGCAUGUAAAGAACAAGAAGACAGAACGCUAGGGCACAUGGGAGGCAGAAACCAGUCACGCAGGGUGGGGAAGACUCCACCAGGCGGAGAGGUGUGCAGGCUCGAUUCAAAGAUAAAGGAAGGCAGCUGAGAGUAGCGAGUGUGUACCACCUGCGGGUGGGUGCGUCAGGUGGGUGUGUCUGUGCACCGGUGUUGCAGGGAGAGCGAGACGGGAGGCCAGGAGCAACUACGGACUGUCAUGCCCUCAUGGGAGCUCAUGUGCCCACACCUCUCCUACUUUUCUGGUUACGUUGUGAAGACAGCAUCCCAUUGUGAAAUUACUGGACCACAAUGAUUUGAAGGAAUCCUGUCUGUAGGAUUUUGACACAUUGGAAACAAAGUGUUGCUCAAGAUUCUGCAUUCUGGAUGCCAACACCAAGGCGUUAUCUCAUUGCAACUGGCACCAAGGACGGAGCGAUGCCGCGGAAAAGGUGGUAGCCUGGAAACGGUGUCGGCCUCAGGGCUGUGCUAUUAUUAUCCUUCACUCUGUAUCAGCUAAAGUGAGUGACUGUGAGAGAAAUGACUUGAAGAAACGUAUUUGGUUACUUAAAACACACGGAAAAGAAACGUAUUAUUAAAAUAGCAAAGCUC